CUUACUCUAAGACUCUUUCCAUGCUACUUUGACGUUGAUCCAUCUAUCCAAAUCAAACAUCAAUAACAUCAUUAGGUAAUACAUAUUUGUUGCCAUCAAUGAGAUAAGUACAUGGUUUUUAGGACAACUUAUAAAUUUUCAAACACAAUAUAAAACAAGUUGAAUACACUUACAAUUUAGUGGAUCUUGCUCUAUGAUUCUUUGAUUCUUUGACUGCUACUGUUUCCAUGCUCCAUAUACCCAAAGUAAACACAUCAGGGUCACAAAUAACCAUUUACUUUUGUUGAAAUAACCAUUUGUCUAAAUAACCUAAUCUUUACCUUGUAGACAAAAAGAAAAUAGAAUCACCAUAGUUAUUUGAAAUUUGAAAGUAAAACAGUAGUAGAUAAAACCUAAAUAGAAAAACCUAAAAGUAAAAAACUCUGAAAUGAAUAAAUUCACAAACCUUGCAACCGAAAGUAAACAAUAGAGAAAGAAGAUCAACACACAGUUCAAAUGUUAUUCUCGUCGUGAAAGUCAGUGAAAAAAGAGAUGAGAGUGGUGUGGUGGUUUCGCCGAGGUGGAGUUAAUGGUGGUGGCCGAUGUUCUUUUGGGUGAGUUGUGGUGGUGAUGAAUGACGAUGACGGUGAGUGGAGAGGAGCUUCUAGUUUUCCAAGUUGUGGUGAGAGAAAUACUGAACGAUAGUGAAGGAGAGAGAAGAGGGUUGAGGGAGUAGUAACCCAAGUACAAAAUCCAACAUUGUUAGCAUCUGUGUGAUUUGGGCGGGUCGAGUCAGGUACCUGCGGUUCAGUCUUUACCACCCGGACCCGCCCAUUUAAAUCCGACUGAACCCGGUUUCAUCACCCGGUGAAACCCGUUGAGCCGUCUGAACCCGCCCAAUUCCUUUUUUUUCUUUCGUUUUUGCUGGUGGUCGGGCUGUGCGGGUGUUUGUCCAGCCCCUAUACAUCAUAUUGUAUCAUUUAGAAAAACCACUCCAACCUGUAAAAUAUAAUCCUCUUUGGCUACACAGUAGAUUUAAAGAAGGCCACAAGCAACUCCCUGAAAAUUAAAAGAAAAUCAGCUAUGUCUCAUCAGGAGAAUCCACAAAUCUAACAACAUUACCUUAUCAUUCCAGCAGGCCGCUUUCCCUUCUGAGGAUCUCUAUUACUUUAAAGAGAUCUUGAAUUAUCUCCUCGCGGUGAACCUGGGCAGAAACAAUCCUCUGUAUCUUGUGACCCAAGGCCAGUCCAUUGAUGCCACACCUUACAAUGUACAACAAGCAAACAGAGUGAUAUUGAAAUAUGAUUUCAUAAAAAAAAACUUACACAUAAAUUAUGAAGAAACACAAAGCUUACUGCAGCUAUAGAGGGACUCAAGUCUCUCCCGUGAGGAUGUGUUACAUCACACCAAAUAUUAAUGUUGGCAUAUCAGUUACUAGAGGAAUUCUUUUCUCAAGGCAUCAUUCAACACCGUGUUACGGCCUCCAGACUACAUACAGUCAAGUAUAACAUGUUUAAAACUUCGAAGAAAUAAAAUCAAGCAGCAAAACAAGUGAACAUUUACGGAAUAACUUGAACCUUAACAUUGAUCUUUAACGCCAAAUUUUCAAGAUAUUGUUUAGUUCAUCUUUACGGCUUGUCGCGGUUGACAGCAUUUGAAACUAUGAAGGAAAAAGACAAACACAAACCAAGGAACUACAGAAUGAGAAUCUAAAACAAGAAAACAUGAAGGAAAUGAAAUAAAAAACCUUUGCAGCAAUAAUUGGAAACCAAUUAUGUAUUGUUCCAGAGACAAAAAGAGAGAUCUGGGUGAGUGAAGAGGUGAAGAUGAAGUCAAAAUUCAUAUGCAUACAACACAUACAGUCCCAAUUAGCAUACAUUUCAAAGAUACGAAGUCAAAUACACUUACAAUUUCAUUGCUCUUACUCUAAGACUCUUUCCAUGCUACUUUGACGUUGAUCCAUCUAUCCAAAUCAAACAUCAAUACAUCAUUAGGUAAUACAUAUUGUUGCCAUCAAUGAGAUAAGUACAUGGUUUUUAGGACAACUUAUUAAUUUCAAACACAAUAUAAAACAAGUUGAAUACACUUACAAUUUAGUGAUCUUGCUCUAUGAUUUUUUGAUUCUUUGACUGCUACUGUUCCAUGCUCCAAUACCAAAUAAACACUCAGUGUCACAAAUAACAUUACUUUGUUGAAAUAACCAUUUGUCCAAAUAACCUUAAUCUUUACCUUGUAGACAAAAAGAAAUAGAAUCACCAUAGAUUAUUUGAAAUUUGAAAGUAAAACAGUAGUAGAUAAAACCUAAAUAGAAAAACCUAAAAGUAAAAACCCUGAAAUUGAAUAAAAUUCACAAACCUUGCAACCGAAAGUCAAACAAUAGAAAAAGAAGAUCAGACCACAAGUUCAAAUGUUGUUGCUCGUCGUGAAAGUCAGUGAAAAAAAGAGAUGAG
rnacentral:lncRNA from 1 species